GGAGGAAAGUAGGGGAUCGCAAGACCUCACGUUAUAGGAGCGGCCGAUGUCCGAUUAGCUAGUUGGUGGGGUAAAGGCCUACCAAGGCGACGAUCGGUAGCUGGUCUGAGAGGAUGAUCAGCCACACUGGGACUGAGACACGGCCCAGACUCCUACGGGAGGCAGCAGUGGGGAAUUUUGGACAAUGGGCGAAAGCCUGAUCCAGCCAUGCCGCGUGCGGGAAGAAGGCCUUCGGGUUGUAAACCGCUUUAGUCCGGGAAAAAGGGGUGCGAGGAUAAUACCCUUGUGCUUUGAUGGUACUGGAAGAAUAAGCACCGGCUAACUACGUGCCAGCAGCCGCGGUAAUACGUAGGGUGCGAGCGUUAAUCGGAAUUACUGGGCGUAAAGCGUGCGCAGGCGGUCUUGUAAGACAGUCGUGAAAGCCCCGGGCUUAACCUGGGAACUGCGUUUGAAACUACAAAGCUAG
rnacentral:rRNA from 1 species